UAAAAAAUUUUGGCGGUAUUUUAAGCUUAUUAGAGGAAUUUGCUCUGUGAUGGACACAACGCCUUAAUCUUACUUAAUUUAGUAAUUUAAAUCAGUUUGUAUACCACUAUAUUAAUUAUAUUGAAUAGUUAUAUUUAAAAUUUUUUUAAAAAAAAAUAUAUUAAGUCAAGGUGCAUCUAAUAAUUAUGAAUGAAGUGAAUUACAUUAAUUUUAAUGUAAUUUUUUACAUGAAAAAAUUAAUUAGGAUUUAAUAGUAAAAUACUAAUAUUAUGAGUAUUUGAAUCAAGCUCUAAAAUAUGCACAUAUCGCCCGUCGCUCUCAGAAGUGAGAUAAGUCGUAACAAAGUAAAAAUACUGGAAAGUGUUUUUUAAAAUGAAAUCAUUUGAUGUUUCAUUUACAAUGAAAAUUUUGUUGUUUAACCAUUUUAA
rnacentral:rRNA from 1 species